GGCGGGUGGUUGUUGUUAUG
rnacentral:miRNA from 1 species